rnacentral:lncRNA from 1 species
CAUAGAAAGCGGUAACUAAAUCCCACACAUGAACGACUUAAACCCACAUCCGGGUGACUUAAACCCACAUAGGGGUGACUUAAAAAAAUAUAAAACAUAAUAACCAAACCAACACUAGCACCAUAAACGGAUAAUCAUCACAAGAGCUACAACAACACACCAAGCAGUAUUUAGAAAAGAGUAAACGCCAAUGAUAGGGAGUUACCGCUGCUGCCACUGGCUCGCCACCCGGUAACCUCCACUUCUCAUACAACCACACUUAUCGUUGCUGCCUCGCCCGCCAAACGAUAAGACUAACCCGGAG